GGAUGUGAGGGCGAUCUGGCUGCGACAUCUGUCACCCCAUUGAUCGCCUGGGUUGAUUCGGCUGAUCUGGCUGGCUAGGCGGGUGUCCCCUUCCUCCCUCACCGCUCCAUGUGCAUCCCUCCCGAAGCUGCACGCUCGGUGGAAGAGGACGACCAUCCCAGAUAGAAGGAGUGUACUGUUCUUCGGUCAAGGGUAUACGAUAGCUGCACUCCCCUGCUAGAACCUCCAAACAAAGUGUUUGUGCUGACCUUUAAAGCCCUCAAUGACCUCAAAGGCGCAGUAUACCUGAAGGAGCAUUU